CGUUCACGGACACAGUGGCUCAUGGUGACUUGGUGACAGUAGCAAACACGAAACAAGGAAGUGGAGGAUACGUCGCUGGAUUGAAGGCACCCACACAAAAACAAGACAUUUUGGAAGUAGCACAUAUUCAUUAUCCAGACGCCUGACUCCAGUCCUACCUCCAUGAGCCAUGUCGAGCCGUCCUGCUGAUCUCCCUGAAAUGGCAAUAAGUCAAGACGACAGCAACACGUACCUUUGACCUCUGCUUCUCACCCACCACUUGAAUAGCAUUAUGGCUCCUGUUCCUCCGGGCAUCCGUCUGUUGGUGUCUUUCAACAGGGACCAAUGGUACAGAGCUCUCACCUUCAUCCUCACCUUCUUGCUCUACACCAGCUUCCACCUUUCCAGAAAACCAAUUAGUAUUGUCAAGAGCGAGCUCCACAGAAACUGUUCGCAUGUCAGUGAACUACCCAUGAUUGGCUCCAGCAGCGGCAGAAGUGACAGCCAGAAGCUUCUUUUACAGGCUCUUCACUCCGAAAUGGACUGUAGCUGGAAGCCUUUUGAUAAAAGUAACUACAAACAGCUGUUGGGAGCCAUGGAUUACUCCUUCCUCUGUGCUUAUGCAGUUGGGAUGUAUCUCAGUGGCAUCAUCGGCGAGCGCCUGCCUAUCCGACUGUAUCUAACGGUGGGUAUGCUGGCUAGCGGUCUUUUCACCUGCCUGUUUGGACUGGGCUACAUCUACAACAUCCACAGUCUGGGGUUCUACGUCUUUGUCCAGGUGGCCAAUGGCUUAGUCCAAACCACUGGCUGGCCCAGUGUUGUAACCUGUAUUGGCAACUGGUUUGGAAAAGGAAGACGUGGAUUUAUCAUGGGGAUUUGGAACUCUCACACCUCAGUCGGAAACAUAUUGGGCUCUCUAAUCGCAGGCUAUUGGGUGUCCUCGAACUGGGGCCUGUCCUUCAUCAUCCCAGGGCUCAUCAUCGCAGUCAUGGGUGUUGUCUGCUUCCUUUUUCUUAUUGAGCAUCCAAAUGACCUGAAAAACUUGUAUAAUGAUGGCUGCUCUCCAGGAAAGAGUGUGCCAACUAAGACUUGGAAUGGAGUAAGGGGACAUACAGAGAUGUAUCUGCAUUAUAAAGAUAAGAAGAAUCAGAGUUACGACACAGAACUUUUGCUGCCGAAGGAAGGUUCAUGUGUGCAAGUGCAGCCAGUGGUGGUGGUGAGGAGUGAGUCGGAGCCGUCUGCCAUCAGCUUCAUGGGAGCCUUACGUAUACCGGGUGUGAUUGAGUUCUCUCUGUGUCUACUUUUUGCAAAGCUGGUCAGCUAUACCUUCCUCUUCUGGCUCCCACUCUACAUCACUAAAGCAGCCCACCUGGAUGCCAAGAAGGCUGGAGAUCUUUCCACCCUGUUUGACGUUGGAGGCAUAAUAGGAGGAAUAUUUGCGGGAGUAAUCUCUGAUAAACUGGGGAAGAGAGCCACCACCUGUGCAGUCAUGCUGCUGCUUGCUGCUCCUACACUGUAUGGCUUCUCGAUGAUCAGCGAGCUUGGUCUUGGGCCAACCAUAGGUGUGCUUUUAGUGUGCGGAGGUCUUGUCAAUGGCCCAUAUGCACUGAUCACGACUGCUGUGUCUGCGGAUUUGGGCACCCACAAGAGUUUGAAAGGAAAUGCCCGAGCAUUGUCAACUGUGACUGCCAUCAUUGAUGGGACAGGAUCUGUAGGUGCAGCAAUCGGACCCCUGCUGGCUGGGGUGUUAUCUGCAGGUGGUUGGGAUCAGGUGUUCUACAUGCUCAUGACUGCUGACUUUUUUGCUUUAUUGCUUUUGCUAAGGCUUGUAACGAAGGAGUUGAGAUCAACUAAAUCCCGACCCAUCUCUUCUGUACAGAUGUAGACAUAUAUCCAUCCAUCCAUUUUCUACCGCUUAUUCCCUUCGGGGUCGCGGGGGGCGCUGGAGCCUAUCUCAGCUACAAUCGGGCGGAAGGCGGGGUACACCCUGGACAAGUAUAUAUAUUUAUAUGAAAUACUUGACUUGACUGAAGGAGCACUGAACGCUGUGAUUGCACUGCAUCAACACAGGAGCACCCAAACACGUUGGACCUGCUGGAACCAACUGACAGUAUGCUACUUAACACGCUGAAGUUGUUGCAGUCUCCCAGAACAGCAGUUCAUUUCAUUUCUGUUUGGGGGAUUCAAUUUGUACACAUUUUAAGUACAGAUAUGACCUGGAUUACAUUUGGGAUUCUUACAACUUGAUUUAUUAGACCUUGCUAUCUCUUAUCGAAACAGAAAUGGAAAGUAUUUAGGGAAAACCUUGACAAAUUUAGUUUGGGAUCAUUUCGAAUGAAAUUCAUUUGCGUCCUUUGCUUUGCCUUAGUUGGAUGUGGAUAUUUAAUUUUACUGAAAUGUUGAAGACAUUCAAACUAUAAGCACUUAAAACGGACAAAUGUUGAAAAUAGGGGUGUCCUGAUCCAAUAUUGCUGUUGGGUAUCGGCCCUAUAGCAGUAUUGACUUGUAUCUAAAAUCACUGACAUAAGCAAUCCUGCAGCGCGUUUACUUGUGCAAAGCUAGACAGCCAGUUUAUUUCUAAAUGUCCUCCAAUAAGCACAAAAGGUUGGACUUUUCUUGUAUUUUAGUCAAGUCAUUUACAGAAGGUAAUCAUGGUAGGCUAGAGGCUACAGAAGGGAAGGUGCAUGCAUCCACAUGGCCACAUUCCUGGGUGGCUCUCGCAUGAGAAGAAAGUGGGGUUAAUAAUUUUCCAAUGCAGUCUGCUGAAAAUAAUGGAAAGUGUCACUCCACCUAGCAACUGACGCUGUGGUCAACGUUGGAACUGCAACAAAACACAUUUUAUGAUUUUUAACACUCUACUGUCGUCUGGCAACUAAACUUCCCAUUUCAUCACGUUUCGUGUGUCCUGGUAAACCGCGACGAAUGGGGUCAUAUGAAUCCCCUUCAUACUGUACUAGGAGCUAGCAGUUACACCACAGCUACAU